rnacentral:rRNA from 1 species
UACGUAGGGGCCUAGCGUUGUCCGGAAUUAUUGGGCGUAAAGAGCUCGUAGGCGGUUCGGCAAGUCGGAUGUGAAAUCUCCACGCUUAACGUGGAGGGGCCAUUCGAAACUGCCGUGACUCGAGUCCGGUAGGGGAGUGUGGAAUUCCCGGUGUAGCGGUGAAAUGCGCAGAUAUCGGGAGGAACACCGGUGGCGAAGGCGAGUCUCUGGGAUGAUGCUGACGCUGAGGCGCGAAAGCCAGGGGAGCAAACGGG